GGGGAGCCACGACCGGGCGGGGCUGGCGAUGGCCGGGUGACCUUGCGCUGAGCGAAGCGCCCGCAGGCCAAGCCCCUUAGCGGCGUCUCUGGGGCCUGGGCUGAGCCCACUUACCCGGGCGCGCAGCGACGGCCCCGCGGCCAGGGAAACCCGGACCCAGCCCGAGGGAACGGGCUGCAGGCCGUCAGCCGCGGUUCGAGCCCGUCCUUGGCCGGGGGCAUUUCCCCGUGUGCGGCGGAGACGCCUCUUGCCUGCCCCUCCCCAGUCCGUGCGUCUCCCUCCCGCUGGGCAGGGGAGAGGGGUCUGUGACUGCCGCUGCCGUCUUGCUCCCUCAUAACUGUAAAAAAUCACAAGGGUAUUCCUCCUUGUUCCGAGGGCCUGCCGCCAUUAGGGACUCUGCGGUGAUGAGCUUACGUUGGUGCAAAGCCCUAAUGUUCCAGAGAAGUCUUCCCUGGUGCAAGGGUUUGCACCGAUUGGUGUUGUGGGGAUAGAAAACUGGAGUCAAGGGGCUACUUCACAAGAGAUCCUAACCCUGAUGGAGUAACUGUUUUGUGCGGUGACACUGAGAAUGCAGUGCACCAUACAACCAAAUCCAUUCCUCCUUAGCCAUGUUCUGCAUAGUUCUCUAAGUGUAUCAAUUUGCUGAUAAGGAAAGUGUUUGUAGAACAUUGGUAGUCCUGUUUGAAAACCAUUGUAUUCGAAGAUGUCUGUCCAGGGUGCUUCUCAGAUGAAUUAGUGCUGCACAGAUGUAUGAAAUAUUCAGGGAGUUAGUGCAGUGUAAGAAGCUUGCUACUAUCUCAGAAAUUACUGUUAACUAGAGCUGAUAAGAAAAUAUUAAUUAAAAGUCUUCUGCCAGAACACUGAAGACUUUGAAACUUCCCUUCAAAAUGUUUUCAAUACAACUUGUUUUGGAAAAUUUUCAAAAUAGAAUUUUUGAAUAUGGUAUUUGAUUACAUUUUGUAUGUAAUACCAGAUGCCGUAUCAUGUGAAAUCAUGGCACUACUGCUUUCAUAUUAAAAUUGAAUACAAAUUUUGAAAAACUGUAUUCAAACAAAUUUCAAAUUAUCCAAAACAAAAAUAUUUUCAUAAUCUCUCUAAAGUCUGAAAACUUGUGUUCAUUCUAAUUCAAAACAGAUUUUGAAAUGCAUCACCACUUGGAAAUUCUCACUUUUUGGAUAGCUGUACUGUUGAGCAUCUUCAAAGUAUUUUAUUUCCUU